rnacentral:rRNA from 1 species
AACGAACGCUGGCGGCAGGCUUAACACAUGCAAGUCGAACGCCCCGCAAGGGGAGUGGCAGACGGGUGAGUAACGCGUGGGAAUCUACCUAGUUCUACGGAACAACUGAGGGAAACUUCAGCUAAUACCGUAUACGCCCUACGGGGGAAAGAUUUAUCGGAAUUAGAUGAGCCCGCGUAAGAUUAGCUAGUUGGUGGGGUAAUGGCCUACCAAGGCGACGAUCUUUAGCUGGUCUGACAGGAUGAUCAGCCACACUGGGACUGAGACACGGCCCAGACUCCUACGGGAGGCAGCAGUGGGGAAUAUUGGACAAUGGGCGCAAGCCUGAUCCAGCCAUGCCGCGUGAGUGAUGAAGGCCUUAGGGUUGUAAAGCUCUUUCAGUGGGGAAGAUAAUGACGGUACCCACAGAAGAAGCCCCGGCUAACUUCGUGCCAGCCGCCGCAGUAAUAC